rnacentral:rRNA from 1 species
ACUCACUUGACUAGCUGAGAGGAGGUGCAUGGCCGUCGUCAGUUCGUACUGUGAAGCAUCCUGUUAAGUCAGGCAACGAGCGAGACCCACGCCAACAGUUGCCAGCUCGUCCUCCGGGAUGGUGGGGACACUGUUGGGACCGCCUCUGCUAAAGAGGAGGAAGGAAUGGGCAACGGUAGGUCAGCAUGCCCCGAAUUAUCUGGGCUACACGCGGGCUACAAUGGGUGGGACAAUGGGUAUCGACACCGAAAGGUGAAGGCAAUCUCCUAAACCCAUCCGUAGUUCGGAUUGUGGGCCGCAACUCGCCCACAUGAAGCUGGAAUCUGUAGUAAUCGUGUCUCAAAAUGGCACGGUGAAUAUGUCCCUGCUCCUU